rnacentral:rRNA from 1 species
GUGAGGAAUUUUCCGCAAUGGGCGAAAGCCUGACGGAGCAAUGCCGCGUGAAGGAUGAAGGCCUAUGGGUUGUAAACUUCUUUUCUCAGAAAAGAAUUAUGACGGUAUCUGAGGAAUAAGCAUCGGCUAACUCUGUGCCAGCAGCCGCGGUAAGACAGAGGAUGCAAGCGUUAUCCGGAAUGAUUGGGCGUAAAGCGUCUGUAGGUUGUUUAAAAAGUAUUCUGUCAAAGAUUAGGGCUUAACCCUAGAUAGGCAGAAUAAACUUUUAAGCUAGAGUUUGGUAGAGGCAGAGGGAAUUCCCGGUGGAGCGGUGAAAUGCGUAGAUAUCGGGAGGAACACCAAAGGCGAAGGCACUCUGCUGGGCCAAUACUAACACUGAGAGACGAAAGCGAGGGGAGCAAAUGGGAUUAGAAACCCGAGUAGUC